GCAGUGGUGGUUUAGUGGUAGAAUUCUUACCUUCCAUGCAGAAGACUCAGGUUUGAUUCCUGGCCAGUGUA
rnacentral:tRNA from 1 species